AACGAACGCUGGCGGCAUGCCUAACACAUGCAAGUCGAACGAGACCAUCGGGUCUAGUGGCGCACGGGUGCGUAACGCGUGGGAACCUGCCCUUAGGGUCGGAAUAACUCCCCGAAAGGGGUGCUAAUACCGGAUAAUGUCUUCGGCCCAAAGAUUUAUCGCCUUUGGAGGGACCCGAGUUGGAUUAGCUAGUUGGUAGGGUAAAAGCCUACCAAGGCGACGAUCCAUAGCUGGUCUGAGAGGAUGAUCAGCCACACUGGGACUGAGACACGGCCCAGACUCCUACGGGAGGCAGGAGUGGGGAAUAUUGGACAAUGGGCGAAAGCCUGAUCCAGCAAUGCCGCGUGAGUGAUGAAGGCCUUAGGGUUGUAAAGCUCUUUUACCCGGGAUGAUAAUGACAGUACCGGGAGAAUAAGCUCCGGCUAACUCCGUG
rnacentral:rRNA from 1 species